ACUAUUUUGGCAGAUUAGUGCAAUAAAUUUAGAAUUUAUGGAUGUAAUUUUUUUACAAAUAGUA
rnacentral:tRNA from 1 species